rnacentral:lncRNA from 10 species
AGGUAAAUCUUGAGGAUAGGAAGGCACAGGGUAGUAUAUGGCAUAACAAUAGAACUAGAAGGAGGUAGGCGUGUAGAGGAAGUAAGAGACCACUGUCAUCCUCACCUGCUCUUGGGUUUGUGAAGAAACCAGUGGAUCCUAGAGGAGUUGGGGUGUGGGCUAGGAGAGGAGGAGGUCUGACCUGGUAGGAAGUGAGGGAGGGAAUGAGGCUCCCUCUUAGACAGAGGCCAGUACUUUUUGGGCCACACCAGGGAAGCACCCAGGGAGAACUUAGCCCAUAUUUGUAGACCAUUUCAUUGGAGGGAAUAACACAAACUGUUCUGGAAGAAAAACUAUGUGGCUCUGCCACCUCCUGUGGGGUGUGGGCCUUCCAUGGAUGCUGUCAGAAUAAUGCCAGGUAUUACCUGGCAGGCAUUUGACUAUUUGUGCUUCAACUCUCUCCUGGCCCCCAUGUGACCUACCCUAUGAGGAUGACUCUCACACUUUCGUAAAAAACCAGAACACUCAUAAGCUCUCCUAGGAUGGCGACCUUGGACCCCCGAAUGCAGUAGAAAUGUGGAAAGGGUGGCACACAGGUAUGUUAUAACUACUGUAGUUACAAAGUUAAUCCCUAUUAACAUUUUAAGAGGCAAUUUUAGGGUGUAAACUCUGCAAAAGCAGAGAUCUUUGUUGUUUUCAUGGAUGCAUUCCACAAACAAAAUAGUGCCUGACACAGGAUAUAGGUUCAAAUAUUUAUUGGCGAAUAAAUACAAAUGGUUACCAUAUUAAUUUUCUUAAAAUC